GUGCAGCAAGCAAACAGCGAGCUUUGAAUGCAUCAAACCUGUCAUCAACAAAUGAGGAAACACUUGCCAUGGGGCAUACUUCAAGAUUACACUGUGGUAGUUCUCUAAUGCACCUGUAUGCCUAGAAUCAAACAUGCAUCAUGACCAUUGGACUAGAAUGAAUCUCAAGUGAGAACCAAUACCUAGAUCGUGCAUAAUAUGCCAUUGAUCUCAUCCACUUUGCAUCAAGAACAAUCUUCCUGAGAAAUUUCAUUGCUUGAGAAUCUACUCCGAGAGGUGUCUUUGCAGUGUCAUUGAUAUCAGCUUCUGUCAAUUCACUGUGGUGGCAUCUACUAGUGGCCCAGGUAUGCUCACCAGAGACGUGAUGCAGCACUUUUAUCCAGAUGGCCUGCAAUGAAAAAUUGCAUAUCUCAGAAUGAGGAGUCUGUGACUUUCUAGUUCUUACAUAUACUUCUCUUGUUGAUUAAUAAUUUAUUGAUGAAAUAGUAGGUUUUUGCCACCUACUGUGUGAUAUAAUAUCUCAAUUAGCUAGCAAACACAAGACAACUACACUGGAGCGGUGUUGACAUUGAUUCAUGCCCUAGCUUGAUAUAAGUUUGGGUAUUGCUGGUGCUAAGUGAUGUCUUCUUCUGUUUUAUUUCAAUGCGUAAAAAAAGAUGAACGAAAUUUUGGUUUGCAAGACCAAAAUUGGUGAACUGCUAUCAAA